UGGGGAAUAUUGGGCAAUGGGCGAAAGCCUGACCCAGCAACGCCGCGUGAGUGAUGAAGGCCUUCGGGUUGUAAAACUCUUUGGACAGGGACGAAGAAAGUGACGGUACCUGUAGAACAAGCCACGGCUAACUACGUGCCAGCAGCCGCGGUAAUACGGAAGGUCCAGGCGUUAUCCGGAUUUAUUGGGUUUAAAGGGAGCGUAGGCUGUUUGUUAAGCGUGUUGUGAAAUGUAAGAGCUCAACUUUUAGAUUGCAGCGCGAACUGGCAGACUUGAGUGCGCACAACGUAGGCGGAAUUCAUGGUGUAGCGGUGAAAUGCUUAGAUAUCAUGACGAACUCCGAUUGCGAAGGCAGCUUACGGGAGCGCAACUGACGCUAAAGCUCGAAGGUGCGGGUAUCGAACAGG
rnacentral:rRNA from 1 species